rnacentral:rRNA from 1 species
AGUCACUGACAUUAGAUACCCGUGUAGUCCUAGCCGUAAACGAUACUCGCUAGGUGUCGGCCACGGUGCGACCGUUGUCGGUGCCGUAGGGAAGCCGUGAAGCGAGCCACCUGGGAAGUACGGCCGCAAGGCUGAAACUUAAAGGAAUUGGCGGGGGAGCACCACAACGGGUGGAGCUUGCGGUUUAAUUGGAUUCAACGCCGGAAAUCUUACCGGGACCGACAGCAACAUGAAGGCCAGGCUGAAGACUUUGCCGGAUUAGCUG